rnacentral:rRNA from 1 species
GACGAACGCUGGCGGCGUGCUUAACACAUGCAAGUCGAACGGAAAGGCCCUGCUUUUGUGGGGUGCUCGAGUGGCGAACGGGUGAGUAACACGUGAGUAACCUGCCCUUGACUUUGGGAUAACUUCAGGAAACUGGGGCUAAUACCGGAUAGUAGCUCCUGCUGCAUGGUGGGGGUUGGAAAGUUUCGGCGGUUGGGGAUGGACUCGCGGCUUAUCAGCUUGUUGGUGGGGUAGUGGCUUACCACGGCUUUGACGGGUAGCCGGCCUGAGAGGGUGACCGGCCACAUUGGGACAGAGAUACGGCCCGGACUCCUACGGGAGGCAGCAGUGGGGAAUAUUGCACGAUGGACGGAAGCCUGAUGCAGCAACGCCGCGUGCGGGAUGGCGGCCUUCGGGUUGUAGGCCGCUUUCACCUGUGACGAAGCGUGAGUGACGGUAAUGGGUAAAGAAGCACCGGCUAACUACGUG